rnacentral:rRNA from 1 species
AUUGAACGCUGGCGGCAUGCUUUACACAUGCAAGUCGAACGGGGUGAGGGGGCAACUCUUCACUUAGUGGCGAACGGGUGAGUAAUGCAUCGGAACGUGUCCCGUAGUGGGGGAUAACCCGGCGAAAGCCGGACUAAUACCGCAUAUGCUCUACGGAGGAAAGUGGGGGAUCCGCAAGGACCUUACGCUAUGGGAGCGGCCGAUGUCCGAUUAGCUUGUUGGUGAGGUAAUGGCUCACCAAGGCGACGAUCGGUAGCUGGUCUGAGAGGAUGAUCAGCCACACUGGGACUGAGACACGGCCCAGACACCUACGGGUGGCUG